rnacentral:tRNA from 1 species
CGGGGUGUAGCACAGUUGGCUAGUGCGCGCGGUUUGGGACCGCGAGGUCGAAGGUUCGAGUCCUUUCACCCCGACCA